rnacentral:lncRNA from 1 species
AACCAAAUAAUUGCAUAAAAUGAGAUACUCUUAUAAGUGACUGAGUGUAGUUGUCUGAAGAAUAUUUAAUAGUCUUUUAGCUAUGGAUUGUUAAUAUCUGAUUGUUCUCUAACUCUUCCUGCUGGAUGUCAUAAAAUAACCAAUAUUAUAUCUGUAAUUGAGCACGGGUAGAUCUGGAUCUGUGGUAAUUAAUAAGAUGAUAUUAACUUAAUUUGAGUUGUAGCCCAAGACUUCCUGUACCUCAUAGCCCAAUGUGAAAAAUAGAACAAUUUUUCAAACAUAUACCUAAUUCUGCCCCAGUAGAGAGGAGUAGCAUUUAUCAGAAAUUUAGAAAUAAAUAUAAGUACAUUGGUCUUUGCAAUUAAUUCUUGAUAGAUAAUAACAAUAUCCAAUUGGAACAUUUGUGUGUUGGGCACAUAUUGUAUUUUAUUGACAGUAGUCUUAUGAUUAUCUGUAUUUUUCAAAGAAGGAAAUGCAGCUUCAGAGAGUUUAAACAACUUUCUCAACAUCAUACAGCUUAUAAGUCACAAAGAUUGAUUAAAAUGCAAGCUGUUUGAAUCCAAAGAGCAUGUGCUUACACAUCAUAAAUAUGUGGCAGGUAGUAGGCAUGAGGAGAUAAAUGUGAGCAUGAGAUAAGAGGUAGGGGAAGGAAUAAGCCUAUAGGGAGAAGGGUGAUGUAGGCCUAUUCACCAGGGAAAUGGUAAAAUGGGGAGCUAGUAUACAGGAGGGAUAGUGUGUCUAAAGGUGAAUGCAAGUAAGUGAGGGUGAGGGUGGGGGUAAACAGCUGUUCACUCAAAGCCAGGAAGAUAGAAAAGACAUGAAUUCUUUGGAAAACCUAAACUGGUAUUUUAUAAUUUUAGAUGUGAAAAUUCAAGUCUUAAUGGUGUUUGUCUUGAUGGGAACCAUUUAGCAGGAGUGUAGUUCCCAAGUUGUCU